UUUAAUGCGAUGCUUGUAGUUAUGUGAACAUGAAAUAGUCAAGAGUAGGUAGUGACGUUUUCAUGAUCAAAUCUUUUAAUCAAUAUUUUAGCUUGCUCUUUGACUAGGAAAGAAAUUAGAAAAUGGUGAAUUGAGGUUAUAGAGUUUCAUCAUUUUUCUCUUUUGGCAUAAGCUAGCAGACUACAUAAUAAUUAUUGGAUUUAUGUUCUGGAUGCUUUAGCAUUUUUCCAUAUUGAAUGGAGCUGGUUUUUAUCUACCUAUUCAAAGCAAAAAGUUAGUGGUGUCUAUUCUGAAGUCAACCCCAUGGUUGCAUUUUGAGAUAUGCUAAUCUUCACAGCAAAUGAUUUUGAAGCAUAGUUGAUCCUAUAAUGUUUGGUUAUUGGAAUUUGGUAUUGCGGACGUAAAAAAAGAUGUCUUUGUUCAAAUCUUACUUUCAUUUUUCUUUUUCUGUUUUUGGUUUAUGAAGAAUUUGUAUUUUUCCAAUUUGGUUCUUUCCCUCCUUAUUUGUGCAGCCAUGAAUUUAUAACGAUAACAUAUUUUCAAACUGAUAAUCUGAUGCUAUCGCUUUCCACCAAAAGAACUUAACAGAUGAACUUGAAUUUUUCAAGUGUUUCAUAACUUUCAUUUCAUUUCUCAUAGCAAAUCUUGUAGCUAAUUAGCCUGGCUACACAAAUAAGUGAAUAUGAAGGUAGUAUUUCAAUAAUUACUAUAUGCUUUAAUAAUUUUCUGCUACGUAUUAUUAAUCUUUAUCAGUUCAUGUAAGAAAUUACUUACAUAUGUCUGGUCGAGAAACUUUUGCACGAAGUUGUAGGAUUCAGAAGAAGUAGAAGGGAUCUCAAUUAAUAUUGCACUUUAAUUGUAAAGAGUUAUAAGUUUCUUUUUUCCUAUAUCUCGUAUUCAUUUUCUUUUGCUUUAACCUUCUUGUGAUGCCAUGCUAAGUACAAAGGAACAAUAUUGUCAAGUGAAGAAGGAUGUGAAUUACCUGUCUUCGUUUGGGAAGUUAAUUGUGCUUUGUUGAUCUUCAUACAGGUGUUUGGAUUCUCCUUCAGAUACAUUGUUAAGAUAUGCUAUGCUAACAUCAUUAGAACAGUUGAUGGUGGCACCCACAUUAAUGGUGUAAAGGCUUCAUUAACAAGAACCCUCAACAAUCUCUUAAAGAAGUCUAAAGUCAUUAAGGAAAAGGAUAUUAGUUUAAGUGGAGAGCAUGUAAGAUAGGGGCUAACUUAUGGGAUUUCUGUGAAAGUUCCAAAUUCAAAAUUUGAAAGACAAACAAAGACGAUAUCAGGAAACCCGGAGGUGGGGAAGAUUAUUGAUCAAUCUAUUCUAGAAUAUCUUACCGAGUACCUGGAGUUGCAUCCUCAAGUCCUUGAUGUAGUUAUGUCGAAGUCCCUCAAUGCUCUCAAGGUAUCUUCAGCGCCAUCUGUAAUAUCUAAUGCAUCUGUCUAAGCUAUUGUUACGGCGAUUUCUCACUUAGUGAUCAUUUCAUUUCUUCAUUUUUUCCCUCUUUUUUUAG